UGCCCAGCAACUUCUAUCCCUGCCUCCUCGUGGCACUGGCCGGGGUACGAGUAACCUUGGGGAAGAUCGGGUAACCAACCCCGGGAACUCUGGUCGUAUGCUGACAGGGAAGG
rfam:Aedes aegypti strain Liverpool supercont1.639 genomic scaffold, whole genome shotgun sequence.